UGCCCCCUGGGCCGCCUGUUUUGCUGA
rnacentral:misc_RNA from 1 species